CUUAAACUGGAACUGAAGAAAAAGUAUAAUAGAUAUUGAAAAGAUAAAUACAAGUUGAAUAGUUGAAUGUCUUGUCUUCGUUUUAAAGUUUGAAUGGUGGCUCUAUGUGAACGUAUGUUGAAGUAUAAGAGUUUAAAAAUGAGUAAGUUGAAUGAGAAUUUGAAGGGUCUCCCCAUUGAAAUACAUGGGAAAUUUUUGUUGAAUAAAGUUGAAUAAAAUUAAAAAUAUAAAUGUUAAAAAUGAGAAAAAUAGAAGCAAUGUUGUCCAAAAUAAUAGGAAUCUAACGAUGUUUGAAUGGUUUUUCUAAGUUGAACGGUUUUGAAGGAGUAGGCUUUCAAAAAACGUACGGAAAAAUAAAAUAUAACUAGAAAGUGCAUUUUCUGAAGAAACUGCAGUGUGAAUGCUUGAAUCUGAAUGUAUGCACUGAAAUGAAUUAAUUGCUGAAUUUUGAGUUAAAAAUAUUGAAUGAGAUAAAAAAAAACAACAAAAAAAAACGAAUUUAACCUGAAAACAAAGGUGCUGAACUGCUAAAAGCUGAAGGUUACACAGAAGAAGGAGUUGGAAAAAAACUGAAAAUGUUUUAAAUGUAAAUUAGAAAACCCUAAGAAAUGAGAAAAGAACAUUUAGAGUCAGAAAACAUCUGAAUGAAUAUUAAAAGGUCAUAUUCUUUGAAUCACUGAAUGACUCAAAUGUGAUCCCUCCACUUUGAUACACACAGUUUAAAAAGUUUAAAUGCCUGAGCUUUGAAAGAUACGGUGUUGGAAAGAGAACAAUAAUGGCGACAAUUUGAGGGUAAAAUGAUGGCUGUAACACUGUGG
ensembl:lncRNA